rnacentral:lncRNA from 1 species
AGGGACAGUGGGGACAUGGGGAGGGGACAGUUUGGGAUGGGGACAUGGGAUGGGGACAAGGGACAGGAUGGGAACAGGAUGGGGAGGUGGGGACAAGGGACAGUGUGGGGGCAUGGGGAGGGGACAGUUUGGGAUGGGGACAUGGGAUGUGGGGACAGGAGAUGUGGGAUGGGGACAAGGGACGGGAUGGGAAUGGGAUGGGGAGAUGGGAACUGGGGACAAGGGACAGUGGGGACAUGGGGAGGGGACAGGAGGGGGACAAGGGACAAUGGGAUGGGGACAAGGGGCAGCGUGGGGACAUGGGAGGGGACAGUUUGGGAUGGGGACAUGGGAUGUGGGGACAGGGGACGUGGGAUGGGGACAAGGGACAGGAUGGGAAUGGGAUGGGGAGAUGGGAACUGGGGACAGUGGGGACAUGGGGAGGGGACAGGAGGGGGACAAGGGACAAUGGGAUGGGGACAAGGGACGGGAAUGGGGUGGGGGCAGCGUGGGAAGGGGGGGGCCCGUACUGGUGGCGUGGUUGGGGACGGUGACGGAGAUGGCGGCGGGGUCACGGCUGAGGCUGUUGGCGAUCAUCCGGCCGGCGGCUGCGGGAGUAAUUAGCAGGAGGUUCGUUAAUUAGGGCUCGGUGUCGGGAGGGAUGGGGA